ensembl:lncRNA
CUGAGAAUGUCCUGUGCGUCCUGCUUGUUGAAGAAAAAUUAUUUGUCUAAUCCGAGGUGAGUGAUCGCUGUCCUGAUAUCCAGAAGCUCUUUGUCUAAUCCGAGGUGAGUGAUCGCUGUCCUGAUAUCCAGAAGAUCUUUGUCUAAUCUGAGGUGAGCGAUCGCUGUCCUGAUAUCCAGAAGAUCUUUGUCUAAUCCGAGGUGAGCGAUCGCUGUCCUGAUAUCCAGAAGCUCUUUGUCUAAUCCGAGGUGAGUGAUCGCUGUCCUGAUAUCCAGAAGAUCUUUGUCUAAUCCGAGGUGAGUGAUCGCUGUCCUGAUAUCCAGAAGAUCUUUGUCUAAUCCGAGGUGAGCGAUCGCUGUCCUGAUAUCCAGAAGAUCUUUGUCUAAUCCGAGGUGAGUGAUCGCUGUCCUGAUAUCCAGAAGCUCUUAGUCUAAUCCAAGGUGAGCGAUCGCUGUCCUGAUAUCCAGAAGCUCUUUU